rnacentral:rRNA from 1 species
GAACGCUAGCGGCAGGCCUAAUACAUGCAAGUCGAACGAGAUUGUUUUAGCAAUAGAACAUGAAAGUGGCGCACGGGUGCGUAACACGUAUGCAACCUACCUUACAUUGGGGGAUAGCCUUUCGAAAGGGAGAUUAAUACCGCAUAAGACAGUAACUAGGCAUCUAGUAGCUGUUAAAGAUUUAUCGAUGUAAGCUGGGCAUGCGUCCAAUUAGUUAGUUGGCGAGGUAAUGGCUCACCAAGACGAUGAUUGGUAGGGGAACUGAGAGGUCAAUCCCCCACACUGGCACUGAGAUACGGGCCAGACUCCUACGGGAGGCAGCAGUAGGGAAUAUUGGGCAAUGGGCGCAAGCCUGACCCAGCCAUGCCGCGUGCAGGAAGAAGGCGUUAUGCGUUGUAAACUGCUUUUAUACACGGAAGAAACGACCCUUGCGAGGGGCAUUGACGGUACUGUAUGAAUAAGCACCGGCUAACUCCGUG